UAAGGGUAAGGAACUGACGGUCUUUCCCCGGCAACGGGAAAAGCUAAGAGGGAACACGGUUCCACCCUGAAACGGGUCAUUCCGUGGCUGCCCCCGCAACUGUAAGCGGCAAGCCCGCACCGUAAAGCCACUGGACCAGAGAGACGGUUCGGGAAGGCGGUGUCCGGGCGCUCAUCGAGCCGCAAGCCAGGAGACCUGCCGUUUCAGGAAAAACGUCU
rnacentral:ncRNA from 1 species